rnacentral:lncRNA from 1 species
UUUUUAUUAAAUUUAACCUAGUGCUUCUCAAACUUUAAUAUGAAUGCAAAUUAUUUGAGGAUCUUGUUAAAAUGCUGAUGCUGACUCAGUAGGUCUGUUGUGCAGCCUGAGGUGACAUUUUGCAUUUCCAAGGUGACAUUUCGCAUUUCCAAAAAUUGGGCAUUUUCCACCAGUGCUGUUCAGAAAGGACCAUAUUUGAAAUAGCGAGAAUUUAACUCCAGACAACUGUUUUCCUCCACUGCACCCAAACCUUUCAGGGCUCAGUGAAAUACCAGUACAGUGAAGCCUUUUCACAGGUGAAACUAAUUCUGUGACGUCAGCUUCGUUUCCCCUGCCUUCCAUAACAAACUAUUAUACCACAAACAGUGUCGUAAAACAACGGCACAAGUGUAUUCUCGCAGUUCUGUAGGUUAGAAUUCUGAAAUGAGUCUUAGUGGGCUAAGAUCAAGGUAUCAGCAGGGCCGUGUUCUUUUCCGGAGGCUGUACGGAAGAAACUGUUUCCUUGCUGCUCUGUGCUUCUAGCAUUCACCCAUGUUUUUUUUUUGUUUUUUUUUUUUUUGGUUUUUUUUUUGGCUUUUUUGACCCCAUUUCUACCUCUUCUAAGCCAAUGAAGGUGUAUCUGUUUUUUCUUAUGUCACAUCUGUCUGACUCACUCUUCUGUCUUUCUCAUUCUGACUUAAGAGCUCAUGUGCUUUAAGGUCAUCUGAUCAGAACCUUAUUCCAUCUGCAACCUAAGUUUUCUUUUGCUGUGUAACAACAUAUUCACAGGUUCCAGGGUUUACAACAUUAACAUCUCUGGUGGCCACUCUGUAUAACACAGACACCGCCAUGUGAUUUAGUAUUUUAUUUCAUUUUGUCAUUUGUCAUAUUUCCAUCUUUCCUGCUAUAUUAUAAGCUCUCUGGAAGCAGAGACCGUGAAUUAUAUAUAGUCAUUCUGGAAACAUUUUGAAAACCCACUAAGUUCUAAACAUUGUGCUUUGUGCUUAGGAUAAAAAGAUGCCCCUAGGAAACUUAUGCUAUGGCACAAAAUCAGAUACAAUUCUCAGUAAAUGUGAAUUGAAUUAAAUUAUAUCAGAGGUCCAGGAAUGUCAAUAUAAUACUAAAGUUCAGAAUAACUGUGAAUUCUGCCUUCUCUCUUUUUUUGUACAUCAUGCCAAGCAGGUCACUGACAAGGCUUUAUUAUUACAAGAAAACCAAAUUGAUUAUAAUACAUUAUGCCUUAAAAUUGGAAGCAUCUGUAACUUUGUAGGAUAAUGAAAUUCUUUCAACUGAUGUAAAUAGAGAACUUGACUACAUAAGCAAAAGAGUAGUCAUUGUGUUGAAUUGCAAGGGUAUGGGAGCAGGAGCAAGAGGAUUCACUUAUUGAAAUGCUAAAACAUCUGUAGAAACUUAUUCUAAAAUUAAAAGUGAUAACUUAUUCCAAUCAGGAAACAAAAUAUCCUGUUACAUCCGUUAAAGUAAUACAUUUCUCAACGUGGAAUAUAUUCCCUCUCUAAAAGUUGAUGUUUGUGUAAAUAUGACUUUAGAACUGGGUGGAACUAUAAAGAUCAUGAUCUCAAAGGUCCAUUUCAGCUCCCAAAUUCUAAAAUGGUUUUAUUUUACAGACACAGUUAGUGAGGCCCAGAAAUAAAUGACUUUUCCAAAGUUGCACAGCAGGAUGAGAACUGAGGUUACUUAAUUCCCUGUCCUGUUCUUUCUUACAUUAAGUGAUAAUGCUAAGGAUUAUCAAAGAGAGAGGAACAAUAAAUAUAUACAAAAGAGUAUGCAUUUUAUAAUUUCUGUAACAAUAAUUUUGAUUGGCAAAGCUAAUGGGAUAUACUCUUGCUACUAAUUAAUAACUUUCCCUGGCUGUAACCUUAAAUCUAGUCUUAUUUCUUCCUUGAUGAUUUUCUCUAAAGCACAUUUCCUAACUAAUUUGGGGAAAUGGCUAAAAUAUAUGAAAAUUAGUCAUUUUCAUUAUUAAUUUUGAAUUAAUUUUCCCACAUCAUUAAAUUGAUUAGUGCUUCCUUAGUCCUCUAUAGAGCAUUCUUUCACCAUGUAAACUUUGAUUUAAAAUAUUUUAAAAAUCAUUAAGCUACCAUAAUGAGAUUUAUCAAUUACCUAGAUAUGAUUGAACUGAGUUUUUUAAAUAUGUGGAGUUGGCUUUCAGAAUUUUUAUGUCAUAUUGCUUUCCUUUAAGUUGUUCCUAAGUUUUACUUACUGUACCUUAACAGUAGACCAUCUUAUCAAGAAACCUUAUUUCUGGAAGACAGGCUCCUUGAUAUACGGUAAGAGAGUAGUUCUUAAAUGUUCAUGCACACACACACACACACACACACACACACACACACACCUGUGAGAUGAUGGAUAUGUUAAUUAGCUUUGCUGUGGCAAUUAUUUUACAGUAUAUAUCAUAUAUCAAAACAGCACACACCCUAAAUAUUUGCAGUGUUUGUCAAUUAUUUCUCAGUAAUGCUGGAAAAAAAUUCAGCAUUGCAUUUAUAUACUUAAAGAUUUUUGACCUGCAGUAUGUAAACCUAUUAAUUCCUAUUGGAGAGAUUAUAAUCUUGAUUUGCUUGCUAUAGGAAACAAUUCUGAAAUGGACCCCAAGAGUCCCACUUCUCUGGUAUACACACACCUCCUCCCGAUUAUGCAAUCAAAUGCUAAUCUAGGUACCUAGGUAACAGGUGUGGAGAGUUUUUGCUGAGGUAAUUAAGGUCUCAAAGCAGUUUACCUUAAAAUAGGGAGACUAGCUUGGUAGUCCUAAGCUAAUCAGCUGAGCCUUUAAAAGGGACUGGGCUCUAGCUGGCGAAAGAGAUUCUAAGAGUGAGAGGUCUCCGGCAGGAGAGAGAUUCUCCCUUGCUGACUUUGAAGAUGUAAGAGACCACAUGGUAAAGAUGUGAGGAUCCUAUCAUUUGGAAGCAGGCCUUUGCCAGCAAGGAAGCAGGGACCUAAGUCGUACAACCACCAUCACUUAAUUCAGCAAACAAUGUGAAGGAGCUUGAAAAAGAGAUUCUUCCCCAGAGCCACCAGAUAGAAGUGAGGUCUGGCUGACAUCUUGAUUUCCGCCUGUAAGACUCUGAGCAGAGAAUCGCCAUGCUGUGCCUGUACUUCCGACCUACAGAACCAUGAGACUUUGAGAAACGUGUGAAAGACUCUGAUCUCCCCACGUACAUCCACACUUCUGAGUUUAUUCAUUUUUGUGUUCCCUUAUUGCUUCAGGAAGGAGGAGGAGAGGUAAGCAUAUGUGCACAUUUUAAAACUAGCAACAAAGAGCUCCCUUUCAAAUCAUAACUUGCCACUGCCAAUUCCAGGCUAACUCGUUAGCCUCAUGCCUUUGUAGUUCUUUUUCUGUUAUACCCAUCUAUAGCCAAUGUUCUUAUAUGUGUAUGUUUUGCAGUGGUAGUAGUUACAGGACCAGGUUUUAAGCCUGGCUCUGGAAUUAUCUGAUAUAUUGCUUUAGGGGAGUUGCUUAAAAUGUGUGCCUCGGCCAGGACAUAAUUAAGAUUAUUACUGUUGUCUACUUCACAGAGUAAUCUGAGAAUGACUUCAUGCAUUUUCACUGCCAUUGCAUUUCUAAAACUGUCUUAUGAUUUUAAAAUAAGCUUCUCUGUCAUAAAAACCGUAAUCAGACACAGAAGAAUGCCAGAAGGCAGAGGUAAACUGAGUUCACCUUCCAAUGUUCCAUCAACACAUCUUGAAAAUUCUUCAUCAUUCUCACUGAUCCUUUAUUCCUGUUUUGCCGUCCUCCUUUGUGAUUAGAAGAUUUUCUCUAAUGUGAGAGAAUGUUCAGGAGAGAAAAUCAGAAAUCUACAUUUGAAAAGUAUCCCACUAACAGAAGUUGAUCCAAGACAGAGAAGAAGAUACAUGGAGCUUAUUUGGGAGGUGCACUGAUAAAAGAUUGCAGACAUGAAAAAAGGGAAGAGAAGAAACUCUUUUCAAGAAUAGUUUCCAAACCACAUAGCUUGUAUUACAUGGCCAUUUACAAUAUGGAUCCCAACUACAUCUUUCGUCACUCUACUGCAGCUAUUCUACACUCUUAUCACAGUGCAAAGUUAAUUAUUCACCCGCCAAGCUCUUCUUUGGUGAAUAUUUAUCCUAUUUAUAAGAUUUAUGUUUACUAGAAGCCAUGGAUGUGAAAGUAUGUAAAAUUAUAAGACUCUGGGAAGACAGACUGAGAAUAGAGGAGAAAUAAUCUGCCAUGUUGUUAGCUCCCCUGUGAGGAGACCCAUGUGAUGAGGAACUGAGGCCUGACAACAGUCAGAAGAGUGGGCUUGGAAGUGGAUCCUUAAGCUCCAAACCUUGAGAUGAUCCCAUUUCUGGCCAACAUCUUGACAGAAAUCUGAUGCAAGACCCUGAGCCAGAACCACCCAGUUUAGCUGUACCCUGAUCCUUGACCCUGAGGAAUUGUUUCAGAAGAAACUACCUUAAUGAAGAAACAGAAGGGAAAGACGUGAAAACCUCCAGAGUUCUUCAGAAAGGCUUCCUUUGCAUAGAAUCGUUCAUCAAUUUCAACAGUAACAGAAAGUAACGGAAACGUGAUCUGAAUGAGUAGCUGAAAAUUGAGUAGUAACUUAACACUCCAUUGAAGUUUUUCAUCAGAUAUGGGGCACAGCUUGACCCUCGUAUUAUAAAUAUUUAAAUGCUUUGGAUAUUUUGCCAAAGUUUAAGCAUUUCUUCCCAAAGGAACAGUGGUGAUAUAAUGUGAGUCAUGCUAAAGUACUUAACCAUCAGUGGGCAGAUUUUGUGGCAUGAAUUUUUGUAAUGAUUUUAAGUAAGACCCGGUAUAUUCACAAAUAUCCAAAACUUUAUUUAGAACUGUAUGGGAAGCUAUUCUAUCUAAAAGCUCAUUCUUAUUAAAAGUAUUUUUUCAGGAAAUAAAAUGAUGUUAAACCUGGAAGUCUCCAGCAAAGAGACUGAUUUUUUUUUAGAUGCUCCCAACUCAGUAAAUUUUGCUUUCCUAUUUUCUUAUUUUUGUACGUAUGCCACUGAUGUCUAGCUUAUACACUUCUGUUAUAUUUACAGCUGUUUACAACCAUUGAACCAAAAGUUCUAUACCUGUUGAAUGUCUAAAAGUAGAGAAAAUUAAUUGAAAAGCAAUAGGUUAAGAAUCAACCUGUGGUCCCAAGAAAAAGAAGUAAAAUCCUAUAAAAUUCUUAAAGCAUUUCCUCUAUAAAUAUUUGAAAGUUAUUUAAUCUUUUGGUCUUUAUAGUGCCUGGAUUGACAUUCUGCAUUAACUAUGGAAUCAUUUUUAUAAGGAAUAUUUUGUGAUUUGUAUAAGAAAAAGUAUUUCUCAAUGGCAUAGGAAGAGCUUUGCUAACUCUUAGAAGAAAGAGGGAAGAGAAGAGGGAAGGAAACAAGUAAAACGAACUGGUGGUACAUCGUGUAUUAAGAGAUAAUACAAGGAUAUCAUACUAUAAUGUUUUCAGACAAAAAUUAUGGACAGGCUAAUUCGUGAAAUAAGAUGAAGACCUAAAAGGUAGCAAUGAUCCUAUACACUAUACUCUGUAACAGUUGUUUUCAAACUGCUUUUUAAACAUAAAAACAAUUUUAAAUCCACUAUUUUAGCACAUUCUGGUCUUAUAUAGUAAUUACAUGGCUAUAUUUUUCCAGUGUGACAUAUUUAAAAUACAUAUCAUUAAAUUUCUGGUUAAUCUUAAACAUGGAAAUAAAGUACGAAAUUUCUAGUUGUUGAAGUAUGUUUAAAAUAAAAUAUAUUAAAAUAUCA